rnacentral:misc_RNA from 1 species
GAUGAAGAACGCAGCAAAAUGCGAUAAGUAAUGUGAAUUGCAGAAUUCAGUGAAUCAUCGAAUCUUUGAACGCACAUUGCGCCCGCCAGUAUUCUGGCGGGCAUGCCUGUUCGAGCGUCAUUUCAACCCUCAAGCACAGCUUGGUGUUGGGACUCGCGUUAAUUCGCGUUCCUCAAAUUGAUUGGCGGUCACGUCGAGCUUCCAUAGCGUAGUAGUAAAACCCUCGUUACUGGUAAUCGUCGCGGCCACGCCGUUAAUCCCCAACUUCUGAAUGUUGACCUCGGAUCAGGUAGGAAUACCCGCUGAACUUAAGCAUAUCAAUAAGCGGAGGA